rnacentral:rRNA from 1 species
CAGUCGCCGCGGGAAUACGUAGGGUGCAAGCGUUAAUCGGAAUUACUGGGCGUAAAGCGUGCGCAGGCGGUUAUUUAAGACAGAUGUGAAAUCCCCGAGCUCAACCUGGGAACUGCAUUUGUGACUGUAUAGCUAGAGUACGGCAGAGGGGGAUGGAAUUCCGCGUGUAGCAGUGAAAUGCGUAGAUAUGCGGAGGAACACCGAUGGCGAAGGCAAUCCCCUGGGCCUGUACUGACGCUCAUGCACGAAAGCGUGGGGAGCAAACAGGAUUAGAUACCCCAGUAGUCCCUGUCUCUUAUAC